GCCGCGGCGGCGGCGGGGGCGCGCACUCCUGCGUGGUCUCGUACUCGUCGUCCUCGGGGAUGCGGAAGGGGCUGGCAGGCAGGCUGCCCAGGCUGCCGCCGAGCGCGCAGGUCCCGCGCCGCGGUCCGGGCCCCGCCGCGGGGUGGGAGGGGCGGACCCAGACUUGCCUUAACCUUGCCCGAGACCCCGCCUGCAAGAAUGACGGCAGCAACCCUCAGUGGCCUUAUGCAAUUUCCUAAACCUCUCCGAGCCUCGGUUUCCUUAUCUGUUACGCGGGCAUAACCAUGGUGUUGAUUCCAUAGCUCUGUUGGGAUGAUUCCAGAUUGUAUCAGUGGGAUGUGUUAGCCCUGUGCCUGACCCUGGUAAGCUUUCAUGAAUGGUCACUUGCUGUGGGAAUGCUCACCGUCAGGGGGUCAGGCUCACGCUGGGGUACAUGUUCCAUCUGGUUUAAUACCGCAGCUCUGUAAGACCCUUCCGCCAGUCCCAUUCUACACGCAGGAAAGUAACACUCAGAACGUUUAAUUCUACACGCAGGAAAGUAACACUCAGAACGUUUAAGUGACUUAUUCAGGAUUUACACAGCCAAGAAGUGGCAGAGCUGGGAUGUGACUUGAGGCUAGUCAGGAACCAGGACUCAUACUGCCCAAUUCCAGAAGCCAUUAGUCUCCAUUCAGAUACCCCUGUGACCUGGCCUCACUGCCCCACAGGGACAAUUCCUCCCAUGCCCUGAUGGCUUCAGUGAGGGAAAUAUUCCUCCUUACAGUGAAGUCAAAACCUGCUUCAGGGGAGUACCAAGAUCCCAUGAGGUGUCUCUGCUUGUGGCUACAGACCCAUCCCCACACCACCAGCUCCUUCAGAAGUCUGGCCUUGCUAAUAUCUCCCAGGCUGGAUCCCGGGUACCUGUCCCCUUUUGUGCUCCACAUCCCCCUUGUAAGCCCAUCAGUCUUCUGCCCCACCGUUGUCACCUCAGGACAGGGGCCACCCACCUCCACGCUUCCCUUCCAAACUGCACAGCUGGGCAUCUCACUGCUCUCUGGAACCAGCCUGGAGUCCCCAUUAUCAUUUUUUCUGAAUCGCCUGACUCCUCCCUCUUCCCUUUCCCACCGGCACAUCUGAUUAACCACCAAGUCCUACCCAUUCCCUUCUCCGGAAGCACACUCUCCACCCCAUCCUGGGCCCGACUGUUCACAUGUGGUCAUCUGGGUCCACCCCAGGGUCUCUCCUCCUUCACUCUAUGCAGUUCCCAGAGCAAUCUUGUAAAGUCACAGCUCUGCUGAAGCCGGUCUUCCUGUUUACCCACCCAGGGUCAGUCUGUCUGGCCUCAGCUUGCCUGUUCAGGCCCAGCUCCUCUGCUCCCUACAGCCCACUCUGUUCCAGGCACCUCACUCAUCAGCCCUGUUCUUAAGUGCCUCUGUUGGAACAGCUCAAGUUGUUCCCCGUGCCUAGAAUGCUUUUCUUCCUGCUCUCCUGCCUCUCCCCUUCCUACCACCCAUUAAGGAGUCUCAUUGCUGUGGUUACGAUUCAUAAAUAGCUACACCUAGUGAGCAUCAGCUCCAUGCCAGGGAUGAGACAAAGAGCUCUGUGCACAUGAUCUCAGGUGGCCUUCACUUGAACCAUGCAUAGUAGCUUUUGUUCUCCCUGUUCUACAGCUGAGGGAACAAGGUACAGAGGUGAUCAGUCUGCCCCAAAUCACACAGGUGGUGGAGCUGGGCUUAGAAAAUCUGGCUACUUCCCAGAGCCUACAGUCAGACUGGGUCUCUCUGCCCUGGUGUGGUGUCAUGUUUAGCACCUUCCAUAGGCUGCUGUAAGCUUCCUUGGUUUGUUUCUGUGGCUAGGAGCUCCUCAGGAGCAGGAACCUGGCAGGCCACUUCUGGAUUCCCAGCCAGGCCUGCCCAGCACAGGGCCUGGCAUGGAGUAGGCUGAGUUGAGAGCAAGGGAAUAUCUGCUCCUCUCCCUGCUCCCUGGUGUGGAGUUUUUAGUACCACUCAUCUUUCCCUGCUCACCUCCUACAGACCCCACUUGCUGAGGGCCACUCAGGGCUGAGCAAGGUGGCAGGGGUGCUGGCCCUUGACUUCUGGCUUGGAGUCAGGGAAGAAAGGGCGUUUCCUGGUUCUUACUACAUCCACUGCUUAGGAAGCCAACAAGGCCUUGAACCCUGGGGUCUUGUUGCUGCUACUGCCAAGGCCUGCCAUCAUUCUUGGCUCACGUCCAUCUUGUGCUGGUCAGUGUCCUCAAAGGCAACCUCCCCUCCCACUCUGCAGUUUACUCCUUCUUCGUGUCUCCUUCUGUUCCUGCUGGGACAUGGAACUUCUAGCAUGUAUCCUGGUUUGUCCAGAACAGCCCCUGUUUGUUCUUUUUUUUUUUUUCUUUUUGUAAAGGGAGUCUUGCUCUGUUGCUGAGGUUGGAGUGCAGUGGCGCCAUCUCAGCUCACUGCAACCUCCGCCUCCCAGGUGAAGGGAUGCUCUUGCCUCAGCCUCCCAAGUAGCUGUGAUUACAGGCAUGUGCCACCAUGCCUGGCUAAUUUUUGUAUUUUUAGUAAAGAUGGGGGUUUCACCAUGUUGGCCAGACUAGUCUCAAACUCCUGACCUCAGGUGAUCCAUCCGCCUUGGCCUCCCAAGUGCUGGGAUUACAGGUGUGAGCCACCGCGCCCGGCUGCCUGUUUGUUCUUGAUGUUCCAGUGUAACUAUUAAUAAUGUCCUUUUUCUAGUGUGAAAAGUGUCCUGGGAGGACAAUUAAAUUAGAUGGUCACUGUCCACCAGGGUCCACUGGCCCAACUCUAGUCCCAGUCUGUCAUUAACAUGCCGAUGGCUCUGAGCAGGCCAUUUCACCUUUUCUAGGACCUUGUUUUCCCAUAUGAAAAAUGGAGAUGAGGCUCUUUGGAGUGUUUCUGAGGGGCCCUAAGGGUCAGCCUUGGGCCAGUGGUGCCAGCCCUCUGGCUAAGCGGGGAAUAGGUCAGGGGGUAGGAACUGACCUCUCGCUGUGUGGGGAGUCGCGAAGGGAGUCCACGGAAUCGUGAUAGGGUGGCGCGGUGGCCCUGCGCCGCUCCUCCAGGUUGUAGGCUGCUGCCCGCCUUGCCCGGGCCUCCACACAUGCUGGGCUGUUGCAUUUGCUGGUACCCACUGAUGAUAGCAUGAUCCCCGACUGGGAGUCAGAAGUCAGGCUCUCAGAACGUUCCAGGCUCCACGUGUGGCUCUCGUGGGUGUGGCUGUGGAGCAGUGGUGAGAAGGAGAACAGGAGUGGCUCCCAGAGAAGGUGGUCUCAGUUUCUCUCCUGAUGACAUGGUCUGUGGCUGGCACGUUCUUGGAAAUAUACUGGAACAGACAGAGUUGGGCGAGAGUUAGUGACUGGGGCAGGCCACCACACAGACGAUGCCCACGACCAGCAGAGCCACGCAGAUGCCCGUGAUGGUCAGGACCCUCUUCUGGUACAGCUCCUCGGCUUCUGCAGAGGGGCCUGGUAGCUGCAAAGAACCUUGGUGGGCCAAGAGGAGUUGUUCUUCCUGGCAGUGAUCAUGGGAAUGCCUUUGUUUACCCCUGCAGCCUGGUCAGGGAGUGGCCCUGGCCCCCUCCAGGCCUGCUAUCUCUGCUUGUGAGAAGCCCGCCAGUGGCACCAUGGACCCCUGGCAUCUAGGAAAGUGCUGGUGUGCAAGGAACAGCCCCCACCGUUGCUGAGGAGCU
rnacentral:lncRNA from 1 species